rnacentral:rRNA from 1 species
GACGAACGCUGGCGGCGUGCUUAACACAUGCAAGUCGAACGGAAAGGCCCUGCUUUUGUGGGGUGCUCGAGUGGCGAACGGGUGAGUAACACGUGAGUAACCUGCCCUUGACUUUGGGAUAACUUCAGGAAACUGGGGCUAAUACCGGAUAGGAGCUCCUGCUGCAUGGUGGGGGUUGGAAAGUUUCGGCGGGUGGGGAUGGACUCGCGGCUUGUCAGCUUGUUGGUGGGGGAGUGGCUUACCAAGGCUUUGACGGGUAGCCGGCCUGGGAGGGUGACCGGCCACAUUGGGCCUACGAUACGGCCCAGACUCCUACGGGAGGCAGCAGUGGGGAAUAUUGCCCAAUGGGCGGAAGCCUGAUGCAGCAACGCCGCGUGCGGGAUGACGGCCUUCGGGUUGUAAACCGCUUUCGCCUGUGACGAAGCGUGAGUGACGGUAAUGGGUAAAGAAGCACCGGCUAACUACGUG